rnacentral:misc_RNA from 1 species
UACGGAAGGUGCGAGCGUUAAUCGGAAUUACUGGGCGUAAAGCGCACGUAGGUGGUUUUAUAAGUCAGAUGUGAAAGCCCCGGGCUUAACCUGGGAAUUGCAUCUGAUACUGUCUGACUCGAGUAUGCUAGAGGGAAGUGGAAUUCCAGGUGUAGCGGUGAAAUGCGUAGAUAUCUGGAGGAACACCAAUGGCGAAGGCAACUUCCUGGGGCAAUACUGACACUGAUGUGCGAAAGCGUGGGGAGCAAACAGG